rnacentral:rRNA from 1 species
GACGAACGCUGGCGGCGUGCUUAACACAUGCAAGUCGAACGGAAAGGCCCUGCUUUUGUGGGGUGCUCGAGUGGCGAACGGGUGAGUAACACGUGAGUAACCUGCCCUUGACUUUGGGAUAACUUCAGGAAACUGGGGCUAAUACCGGAUAGGAGCUCCUGCUGCAUGGUGGGGGUUGGAAAGUUUCGGCGGUUGGGGAUGGACUCGCGGCUUAUCAGCUUGUUGGUGGGGUAGUGGCUUACCAAGGCUUUGACGGGUAGCCGGCCUGAGAGGGUGUCCGGCCACCUUGGGCCUGAGAUACGGCCCAGACUCCUACGGGCGGCAGCAGUGGGGAAUAUUGCACAAUGGGCGGAAGCCUGAUGCAGCAACGCCGCGUGCGGGAUGACGGCCUUCGGGUUGUAAACCGCUUUCGCCUGUGACGAAGCGUGAGUGACGGUAAUGGGUAAAGAAGCACCGGCUAACUACGUG